AUGACGCAUACUAUUUUUCUACUUACAGCAACCAAACCCAACCUUUAUCUCGCGCAACAAUUAACCCCCUUCCAAUUUCCUCCAUCAAUUUCGCAAGUAGUCCGUAAUCCUUCUGCCAAGAUCUAUUCUGCGAUUUCGAGCACCAUCAAUUUCCAGUUUCGGCUUUUCGGUUUUCAAAAAUCGUUUCAAGUAUUCAUUCCCGCAUAG